UUCUUGCUUUCAGGUUGUUGGUGUGGAGUGGAAGAUGAGGAGGCACCUUCUAAGCAGAGUAUUUAUGUGCAAAGAGAGACUCAGGUCAGGACUCCUACAGCAGGUGUGUCCCCCAAGAAGGCUCACCCCUGUGAGAUGCAUGGUUCGAUCUUGGGGGACAUUUUGCACAUGGCAGAUCAUCAGGGAACAUAUCACAAGCAGAUAGAGCACAGGUAUGAGGCAUGGGGGAGUAAAUCGUAUGACAGUACAAACUUUCAUCGGCACACGAAUCAGUACAUUGGAGAGAAACCCUAUAGAAUCAGUGUUGAGGAAGCGUUGUUUGUGAAGAGGUGUAAGUUCUAUGAGUCAGAGGAGUCAUCUGUCUUCAGUCAGAGUGUUAAGGACUUUUUGCCCAGGUCAGGAUUACUUCAGCAAGAGGUCAUUCACACUGGGAAGAAGUCAGACAGUAAAACCGAGUGUGAAUCACCCUUUCACAGGGGGAAAACGCGUUACAGCUGUGGAGGAUGCAUGAAACAUCUUAGCACCAAAAAUGUUCUUGGUCAGCAUCAGACAUGUCCCCCUAGAGAAGAAUGUUAUGUGUGCUGUGAAUGUGGGAAAUUCAUGAGCAAACAUGAUAGCUUUAGUAAUCAUCAGAGAGUUUGCACUGGAAAAAUAGCUCAUGAAUGUGGAGAAUGUGGGAAAUCUUUUAGUUCAGAAGGACAUCUUAGGAGCCAUCAACGCGUUCACACUGGAGAAAGACCUUAUGAGUGUGGAGAAUGUGGGAAAUCUUUUAGUCAUAAGCGCAGCCUUGUUCACCAUCAGCGAGUUCACAGUGGAGAAAAACCUGCAUGUGGGAAAUCUUUGAGUCAAAAGGGUAACCUCAUUCUACACCAGCAAGUUCACACUGGAGAGACAGCUUAUGACUGUGGGGAGUGUGGGAAAUCUUUUAGUCAGAAGUACAUUCUUAUUCAACAUCAACGAAUUCAUAAUGGAGAAAGACCUCAUAAGUGUGGAGAAUGUGGGAAAUGUUAUAGUCAAAAGAGCAAACUUACUCAACACCAGCGAGUUCACACUGGAGAGCGGCCUUAUGAGUGUGGGGAGUGUGGGAAAUCUUUUAGUCAG